UGCCGGAUCGUCUAAUGGCAGGACGGGUGACUCUGGAUCACCUAAUCUAGGUUCGAAUCCUAGUCCGGCAG
rnacentral:tRNA from 1 species